GGCAGGCCCUGCGGUGGGCGGCUGCCUCGGCCCCGGAUGGCUGUCUCCACAGAGGGCUGGCACUGGACCCUGCCUGGGGCACCCCACUUGAACCCCUACUCCCGGCCUCAGCUCUGGGACUCUGAACCCAGCACCUGCAAAGAGCCUGGCUGUGGGGACCCUUGGCUGCAGCAUCACAUUUAACCCUCCUUGGAAUGCUACAGGGAGCAUCCAGCAGACGGGAAGACAGAUGAUGCUGGAGACUGAGGAGCGACCUGCUGGAAGGAGAACAGUCCUUGGGGCGGAAUUCUGAGUGGGAUCCAACACAUUCAACAGCCGAUUGUGGAAUGAACAAACAACAGCUCAGCGCUUCCUUCUCCAAUGGGAUUAACUCUGCUUUCUCCUGCCCAGAGGGGGGGUUGGCCGCAGAGGAGCCAGGACAGUGCUCUGUCCCCUGUGUUCCAGUCCACAUCCCCCUCACCCCCGCCUGUCCUCAUGGUCUACGUGCCCAUGGGGAUACACUGGCCUGUGCAUUGCUUCCUGCUGGGUCUCAGACUCGGGGCUGUGGCAGAUGGGGACAGGGCCUGUCCUGGCACCAUCUGCCAAUUCCCUUUGUACUCCCAGUCCAUGAGGAAGUUGACUCUGCCCUGAAAACGACUGUUCCUGUGGUCCAUAAACAAAGGAAUGGUUAUUCUGAGAGCUGAUUGACAUAUGCAUGGGCAGAUGUUUUAUAAACUGCAUUCUCUACAAACUGAAGGGGCAAAUGUGAUGGAUUCCAAGGCUCCACAAGACAUUAUCAUGGUCAAUGUCCAGCAGACCAGAUAUGGGGUGAUCAAUUGUUUGAAGGUAAAAGUUGUCAAGAAUAACUUUAGACUUUGCUGGGAAUGCAAUAUCUUCUGACAAGGAGGAGUUGGCUGGAACAGCCUGGGCUCUGUACCUGUCCCUCAGAUGUCCUUUGGUGCUUUAGCCCAGUGACUCAUCGAUCUCCCAGGUAUAAAACCCAGGGUGGGCUUCUUUCUGGGGUCCUUCGGCUGCAGUACAAGUGGGGCAUGCACAGAUGAGACUCCAUCUACCCUGGGAAGCUCUCCUGAGCCUUGGGGGACUGGCUUGUCAUGAAUCCUUGGCUUUAGUUGUCCCUUGUUGUGUAUUUCUAAUGAAUAAACCUGUUGCAUAUAACUUGUGUGUAUGAGUGUUCUGUCUCAUCUGACUCAGGACAGUAGUAAAAAUGCAAUGUAAGAUGCAGUGAGCUCAAGUGGUACCAGUGUACUGUGAAUGCACUUUGUGCUGCCAUGCUGGGGUUCAGAGCAGGCAUCCAUGUCUAGAGCUACAUAUGGAGACCAAACAGAAAAUAGAGGUAAAAGCCCUGUUGUAGGGACAGGGCCAACAUGGCGGGAAUUAGUGAAGUAGGAUUUGGUGAACAUAGGAGAGUAAUGAAAUCCCUGGAACAGAAAAAAUCUAAAGUCCACAGAAGAAAUCCCAUUGAAUUCCCUAAAGAAACCUGACAUGUUAUGUUUUGACCCAGCCAGUCUCAUUUGUUUCAUGCAAUUAUCACCAGAUUGAAGUUUGCUGGGAGAUUCCAACUGACCUGGAAGUUGCUGGAUUGAUGGGAAGAGAUCCUUCUAAUCUUAGAAGAAUUCUUGGAAUGGCUCAGAAAUAGAAACUCAAGAAGCAGAGGGAUUUAAUUACACAGGAGCUGGGACUUCUAGAUUAUGACAUUUAUAUGGUUUGGGUCUGUGUCCCCACCCAAAUCACAUGUCAAAUUAUAAUCCCCAAUGUUGGCGGUGGAGCCUGGUGGGAGGUGAUUGGAUCAUGUGGGUGGAUUUUCUUUUUGGUGCUGUUCUCAUGAUAGUGAGUGAAUUAUCAUAAGGUCAGGUUGUUUAAAAGUGUUUGGCACCUUCCCACUUUCUCUCUUCCUUCUAUUCUAGCCAUGGUUGAAGACAUGCCUGUUUCCCCUUCGCCAUCUGCCAUGACUGUAAGCUUCCUGAGGCCUUCCCAGUCAUGCUUCCUGUAUAGCCUGUGGAAACAUGCGCCAAUUAAAACCUCUUUUCUUUAUAAAUUACCUAGUCUCAGGUAUUUCUUUAUAGCAAUGCAAGAAUGGACAAAUACAGACAUCUUACGGAAAAAAGUUUAUCAAGUGGAAAGCUCUAUUGUGUACCCUCCUUGAAAAUAGAUGACCUGUUUUCUCAUCUUUCUCUUAGCGUGCUGUGGUCUUCACAUGCAGAAAGAGGAACAAGUUAAGUAGUGGUUGUCUUUGAAUAUUUUCUUAUUGAAUGGUUUCUGGCCUGGCUCAGUCCCCUUAACAUGUCAUCCUAAAGAAAUAACGAAAUAUCUUUUCCUUACAAGGCUUUCUAAAGUAUGACUUAUAAGUCAGAAACCACAAGAGAAAAUAUUAAUAAGUCCAAUAAUGUUAAAAUUGACUUAGCUAAAUGCAUCAUAAACAAGAUAAAAAAAACAUCAAACUGGAAAGAUGUUUGCAGGCUAUGUCACAGAGGAACGGAUGGUUUCUCUAAUAUAUAAAAAGUUCCAACAAACUGAUAAGAAAAGUGGACAAAGAAUACAAAAAGUCCAUAGAAAAGGAAGUAAAACUGCUUCUUAAGCAUAUGAAAAUUUACUUAGUCUCACGAGUAAGAAACAUAAAUUUUAAAAAACAUGGAGAUAGGCUGGGUGCAAUGGCCCACGCCUGUAAUCCCAGCACUUUGGGAGGCUGCUGCAGGUGGAUCAUUUGAGGUCAGUUUGAAAUCAGACUGGCUAACAUGAUGAAACCCUAUCUCUACUAAAAAUACAAAAAUUAACCAGGCAUGGUGGCAGGUGCCUGUAAUCCCAGCUACUAGGGAGGCAGAGGCAGGAGAAUUGCUUGAAUCUGGGAGGCAGAGGUUGAAGUGAGCCAAGAUUGUGCCACUGUACUCCAGCCUGGGCAACAGAGCAAGACUCCCUCUCAAAAAAAAACCACAAAAAAACAAAAACAAAAAAAGCCAGAAAACCCCCGCAAAACAUGGAGAUAAUCUUUUUCGUUUUUUCUGGGUGGCAAAGAUUAAAAAGUUAGAAAAUGCCAAGAUAGCGAGAGGUGUGUAUGAGUGUGAUAUUGGUGGUAGCGUAAAUUGCUAUAACUCUCUUGGGGGGGAAUUUGGCAAUAUCUUACCAAUAUCCUGCCAAUAUCUUUCUUACUCAUAAGUCAAAACUGUGCUUGUUAAAUCCACAAAUGAUAAUGUUUUUCCAUGUAUAUUGAAGUUUCUUAAGUAGUGUUUUAUAGAAUAAGUUUUCCUAAUACAUCAUUGAAGAGGUUUUCAGGAGCAUAGUUUGAAAAAUACUGACAGGUAUAAUGUAGGAAGUAGUUAGAAUAUAUCUGGGAGCUACCAACACCAUUCAGGUCUAGCUAUAGUGAUGUUUGCUGCCCCUCUUAGGAAGGGAAACCUUUCACAAACCUCCACCUUCAUUUUCUCCUCUUGCAAAUGCUUUUUGGUCAGAAGCAUAAAUGCCAGAGCUGCAAAAGUGAUUCAAAACCCAAGAGAACUCCCUGGGGAUAGUCUGUUCUCUCUGUAGCUGGGACAAGGAGAUGGCAGGCCCUUCUCUUCCCAAGAACCUCCCUGAUGUGCAACGAGAGGCCACAGACUUAUCUUGCAGCAUUAAUUAGGAGAGAUGCAACAUUUGGGGACAAUCUGUUCAAGAAACCCUGCACAGGACACGUUUUCAUCCUGGGCUCUGGGGCUGAUAUGUGCCAGUGGCCUAACUCCACACACCUCGAUGGAAUUCUCUGGCAGAACCGCUCCAAAAUGUGUGGAAAAAUCUGUUUUUCUGGAUUCUCCUUCUUUGCUUCAAG
rnacentral:lncRNA from 1 species